rnacentral:rRNA from 1 species
CCUACGGGUGGCAGCAGUGGGGGAUAUUGCACAAUGGAGGAAACUCUGAUGCAGCGACGCCGCGUGAGGGAAGACGGUCUUCGGAUUGUAAACCUCUGUCUUUGGGGAAGAAAAUGACGGUACCUGUAUAAGCAGCCCCGGCUAACUCCGUGCCAGCAGCCGCGGUAAUACGGAGGAUGCGAGCGUUAUCCGGAUUUAUUGGGUUUAAAGGGUGCGCAGGCGGAUUUUUAAGUCAGCGGUCAAAUCGUGGGGCUCAACCCCAUCCAGCCGUUGAAACUGGGGAUCUAGAGUGUGCGAGAGGUAUGCGGAAUGCGUGGUGUAGCGGUGAAAUGCAUAGAUAUCACGCAGAACCCCGAUUGCGAAGGCAGCAUACCGGUGCACAACUGACGCUCAGGCACGAAAGCGUGGGUAUCGAACAGGAUUAGAUACCCUAGUAGUC